AUUGAACGCUGGCGGCAUGCUUUACACAUGCAAGUCGAACGGUAACAGGCCGCAAGGUGCUGACGAGUGGCGAACGGGUGAGUAAUGCAUCGGAACGUGCCCGGUCGUGGGGGAUAACACUUCGAAAGAAGUGCUAAUACCGCAUACGAUCUGAGGAUGAAAGCGGGGGACCGUAAGGCCUCGCGCGAUCGGAGCGGCCGAUGUCAGAUUAGGUAGUUGGUGGGGUAAAGGCUCACCAAGCCAACGAUCUGUAGCUGGUCUGAGAGGACGACCAGCCACACUGGGACUGAGACACGGCCCAGACUCCUACGGGAGGCAGCAGUGGGGAAUUUUGGACAAUGGGCGCAAGCCUGAUCCAGCAAUGCCGCGUGCAGGAAGAAGGCCUUCGGGUUGUAAACUGCUUUUGUACGGAACGAAACGGUCCGGGUUAAUACCCUGGGCUAAUGACGGUACCGUAAGAAUAAGCACCGGCUAACUACGUGCCAGCCGCCGCAGUAACAC
rnacentral:rRNA from 1 species